UACGGGGGGGGGCAAGCGUUGUUCGGAAUUACUGGGCGUAAAGGGCUCGUAGGCGGCCAACUAAGUCGGAUGUGAAAUCCCCAGGCUUAACCUGGGAACUGCAUCCGAUACUGGAUGGCUUGAAUCCGGGAGAGGGAUGCGGAAUUCCAGGUGUAGCGGUGAAAUGCGUAGAUAUCUGGAGGAACACCGGUGGCGAAGGCGGCAUCCUGGACCGGCAUUGACGCCUGAGGAGCGAAAGCCAGGGGAGCAAACAGGG
rnacentral:rRNA from 1 species